UCAACAUUGCAGAAUUCGAAGUAUCAUCACCAUUCUCUUUGAUCAAAACUAAGCCGUCUGUAAUCUCCACAACUGGCUGAUGAUUGUCGGUAAGAUCCGUAGAUGCUCUAGGGUCUGGACAAUUGAUGUUUUGUGUAUCUUCUUUCAGGUCUCCUUUUGAUCGAUCAGAUGUUCCUUGCUCAGUUGGCUCAUCCCUCACUGUCGCAUCAGCUACAGAACACGACAAUGGAUUCAUCGACUCUGUUUGAGCAUUUGAUUCAAAACUGUAAACAGUGAAAUUGUGUUAGAUAUACAGCAAGCUUUAGAAACAAACAUACAUAAAAACAAAGUAUAUCAAGGCGUACCUUCGCAUUGCAUAAACCCAACUGUUAACCAGAUCUUCCAGAUAAGCAACUUGAGACAAAAUUCUGAUAUAUUGACAUCUGUCCUUUCCAGCAUCGAUUUUCAUAUUGAUCCGCCCAACUAAGAGCUCGAGAACUUUCCUUACUUCAAAAGAGACUUCCCUCAGUGAUGUAUAGGUUCCUCUAUACGCAGAUAAUCCAACAGCAACGAGGCCCCUGGCAGUGCCAGAUAAAUCUUUGCCUCUAACAUUGUUGGAACCGGAAGCAGUAGUACUCUGCUCUGAUGGAUUAUGAGGACGAAUGAUACACGAAUUAAACGGCCAUCCUCUCCAAGGACCCGAAACAUCUGCGCUUGGCCCUUCCUUAAGCUUUGAUGUCACCCAACAAAGCUCAGCAAAUUGAGGAUACCGUAGAAUUUGAUAACCAAAUGUAGAGACGGCUAACUCCAAGCUUGAUUUCGGUUUCGCAGUAAUGCUGAUAGGUAUCGGUGGCACUUUCAAAGAACAAUCCUCAGGAGGUUUUGAUUUGAUACCUACUUCUUCCCCUGCAACAUGAUCAGUAUUAUUCUGAUAAGCUGGAUCUCUGCAAUCCUGGUCAGGAUCCUCUCUUUCGUAUGUCUUCGGUACGUCAUAGUGUGUAUGGGUUCCCUGAUGCACCAAAUGAAGAAACACUUGGAUUGCCCGCCUUGACAACUCAGUAGCAGACAAGUCAAUGGCCAUGUCUUGGUCAGAACUUUCAGCAAUUUGUACAGUGAAUUGUGGAACAGCCUCUGACUUAGUUGGCUGAUACUCCUUUGAUAGGUCGGUCUUAAAGAACUGUUGUAUCUUAGGAGGCAGGAGUUUGUAGGGCAUGCCAGAAGUAGCCUAUCACCAAAAAGGAAAAAAAGGAUUUAGUCUCACGUGUUGAUACUCUUCUCAGAGACUUCUAAUCAACAAAGUAGGGAGCACAGAGAUUUGAAAAAGAAGAGUACACGAAACUAAGGCUUAUAUUCACAAAAUACAAGAAAAAAAGCUAUCCGAAAGUACACUAAACAAGCAUAUACGAGAGGUAUUGGAGAAACAAAUUAAGUAAGAAGUUAAGCAUACCAGAAUUAUCAUCUUUGUGGAAACUCGCAAUGAUUCUACUUGCUCAAGAAAUGUGUUCCAAGCAUGUGAAACUCGAGAAGAAUACUGCAACUCCAUUUUCUCCACUGUUUCUGGACGAACGGGAGAAGAAUUUUCUUUUAAAGAAUCAUCAUCACACUCGACCUCCUCAUUCAGUGGAGUUUCUGUCUCUACAGCCCACAAGUCAAUCCUUGGCAUGAAUACCACACAUGAUUUCCUGCUAGAACAUUUCACUACAGGUCGGACAGAUUUACCAGUUAGUAAUCUGGAGAUGGACUAGAACCAAGCAAAUCAACGAAAGACUAAAAGAAAAAAAGUAUGUAGCUGCUUAAAUAUCAUUAUCAGGUACGUAAUGAAAUGUUAAUAACAGACGUACUUAAUAAGUGAGUUACGCCUAGCACCAGAUCCCCAUUUCCUUCUUGUGAAAUUGUCGCCGUGUCUAUCUUCUGCAUCUCCGCAUUUCCAAUAAAACAAUGCAAGAUGCAAGAAGCAAGAUGACGUUGACCAGAUCUAGGUCCUCCAGCAAUAAGCAGUUGGAACCCAGACUUGUUCAUUGAUUCUGAAGGAGCAUUCCCCAACCCAGGAUGUCGGCGGACUCUGUGUACCAUGAACUGCGCAGAACCCAAACUACAGUCGCCUGCACCAGGGGAGCUUGGAACAGAUCUAACCGAGUCACAUCCUCCAUCUAGUAUCCCAGCAUAAGAAAGUCUCUGAACUAUAUCUUUUACAACAUCUACGUCCUGGAGAAGGCUAUCAACAUGAGACCACCAGCAAUCAUCAUUUAUCUUCUUGUCGCCCAAAGCAGAACAGAUCACAUUUUUGAAAUCAACCGCAGCUUUGGAAAGUAGAGGCGGCAGCACGAUGCGCUCUUCAAGAUGAAAAGCAACGAGUAAAGAACACAGUGAUGGUAACAAAGAAGGCACCAAGUAAACAGGAAGAGGAGAAGAAUUUAAGAUCAAGGAGAACAGUCUGAUGCAAGGAAACUACUCCUGAAUCCUCAAUCAACAUUGCAGAAUUCGAAGUAUCAUCACCAUUCUCUUUGAUCAAAACUAAGCCGUCUGUAAUCUCCACAACUGGCUGAUGAUUGUCGGUAAGAUCCGUAGAUGCUCUAGGGUCUGGACAAUUGAUGUUUUGUGUAUCUUCUUUCAGGUCUCCUUUUGAUCGAUCAGAUGUUCCUUGCUCAGUUGGCUCAUCCCUCACUGUCGCAUCAGCUACGGAACACGACAAUGGAUUCAUCGACUCUGUUUGAGCAUUUGAUUCAAAACU
rnacentral:lncRNA from 1 species